GAAAGCCGUGUGCAGGAAAACUGCAUGCACGCUUUGAUGAGGGGGGUAGGCGAGAACCUGUUCUCUACUCCAC
rnacentral:autocatalytically_spliced_intron from 1 species